ACCCAAUAGAUACCCGGUAGUCCACGCCGUAAACGAUGGAUGCUAGAUGUUGGGGGUAUUGACCCCUCCAGCGUCGCAGCUAAACGCAUUAAGCAUCCCGCCUGGGGAGUACGGCCGCAAGGCUAAAACUCAAAGGAAUUGACGGGGGCCCGGCACAAGCGGUGGAGCAUGUGGUUUAAUUCGACGCAACGCGAAGAACCUUACCUGGGUUAAAUCCGCCGGAACCUGCCAGAGAUGGUGGGGUGCCCUUCGGGGUAGCCGGUGAGAAGGUGCUGCAUGGCUAUCGUCAGCUCGUGUCGUGAGAUGUUGGGUUAAGUCCCGCAACGAGCGCAACCCUUGUCGUUAGUUGCUAACAGGUCAAGCUGAGCACUCUAGCGAGACUGCCGACGUUAAGUCGGAGGAAGGUGGGGAUGACGUCAAGUCCUCAUGGCCCUUACGGCCCAGGGCUACACACGUGCUACAAUGGCCGGUACAAAGGG
rnacentral:rRNA from 1 species